UACGAAGGGGGCUAGCGUUGCUCGGAAUGACUGGGCGUAAAGGGCGCGUAGGCGGAUGGCUUUGUCGGGCGUGAAAUCCCGAGGCUCAACCUCGGGUCUGCAGUCGAUACGGGCAAACUAGAGUAUUGCAGGGGAGACUGGAAUUCCUGGUGUAGCGGUGAAAUGCGCAGAUAUCAGGAGGAACACCGGUGGCGAAGGCGGGUCUCUGGGCAAUAACUGACGCUGAGGAGCGAAAGCGUGGGGAGCGAACAGG
rnacentral:rRNA from 1 species